GGCAGGGCCUGCCACGGGUCAGACCAUGUCCUGGAACCGCCCUCAGCCCCCCCACGGGGCGGGCCAACCUGAAGGCCUUGAAAACCUGAGCUGUGCUUGGGUCUGCACUGUGGUCUGCAGGAUACAGCUUCACUACAGCUGUCCCGGGCACCCACAAACCUCCCAGAGCCAUGGCCAGCAAGGGCUUGAAGGACCUGAAGCAGCAGGUGGAGGGGAUGGGCCAGGAAGGCGCUGAGAAGCCCCAGGAAGCCACCGACAAGGCUGCCAACCAGGGCUCUGAUGGGGCCACGGGGAAGAAGUUCAGCCACCAGAAAUGAGGCCGCCCCUCCCGGCCCUGUUCAUGGAACUUGGCCCUGAU
rnacentral:lncRNA from 1 species